UUGACCUCAAAUCAGGUAGGACUACCCGCUGAACUUAAGCAUAUCAAUAAGCGGAGGAAAAGAAACUAACAAGGAUUCCCCUAGUAACUGCGAGUGAAGCGGGAAAAGCUCAAAUUUGAAAUCUGGCGGUUCUUGACCGUCCGAGUUGUAGUCUAGAGAAGUGUUUACCUGUGCUGGACCAUGUACAAGUCUCCUGGAAUGGAGCAUCACAGAGGGUGAGAAUCCCGUCUUUGACAUGGACUACCUGUAUAUUAUGGUGCGCUCUCAAAGAGUCGAGUUGUUUGGGAAUGCAGCUCAAAAUGGGUGGUAAAUGCCAUCUAAAGCUAAAUAUUGGCGAGAGACCGAUAGCGAACAAGUACCGUGAGGGAAAGAUGAAAAGAACUUUGGAAAGAGAGUUAAACAGUACGUGAAAUUGCUGAAAGGGAAACGCUUGAAGUCAGUCGCAUUGGCUAGAAAUCAGCCUUGCUUUUGCUUGGUGUACUUUCUUGUUGAUGGGUCAGCAUCAAUUUUGACCACUGGAUAAAGUCUUUUGGGAAUGUGGCAUCCUUGGAUGUGUUAUAGCCCAUUGUCGCAUACAGUGGUUGGGAUUGAGGAACUCAGCAUGCCGCAAAGGCUGGAUCAUUUUGAUUACAAUACGUGCUUAGGAUGCUGGCAUAAUGGCUUUAAUCGACCCGUC
rnacentral:rRNA from 1 species